rnacentral:lncRNA from 1 species
UGUGCACUUAGCCGAUCUUUUGUUUAUUUAGUUUAGGAUUCCGCACGUCUAUUUUUCGUUCAUUCAUGUGAAACUUCUCGCCUGGGAUUGUUGUUUUAGCUUUUACAUAGCUUCAAGUAAUGAAAGUGCUUCGUCCUCCUCAUAAUUUUUUGUUUAAACUGGUGUUUUUCCAAUUCAAUCGCGCCUAAAAUGACUUCCCCC